UUUGUUUGGGUGGGCAGCGUAUCACAUUAUAUCAGUGCCGUCUGGCAUAUCUCAAGGAUUAACAACAGGUUGAUAUAAUUGGAUUUGCCUACAGAAUUUGAUUGUCCAAAACUUGGCUCUGAAAGCCGAGCCAAUCAUUAGCAUGUCUGGUUAACCUACCGCCUCCAGAGCUUUCAGUCCACUUUUGAUGCUGUAUACCUCCUUUUCCAGUUCAGCCAGACUGAAAGAAAAUCAAAAAGCAGACAGUCAGAAGGAAAAGAUAUCAGUGCUUAGACAUGCAACACCAACGUGCUGCGAUGAGAACAGGCUCCCGUGGAUCAUUCAGAGCGACGCGUGCAAACUUAGGUGUAAAGCUCCACCAGCAUCUAGUGGAGCCUGGUCUGCAAGACAUCUGUUUAGCAGGACAGUCCGUAGCUACUCACUUGACUUUGGCAGCCUCCGGUAUACUUUGAAGGUCCUGCUGAAUGUGGAGGAUGUCUGGGUAAUGUUUCUCAAAGAUCAUGAUCAGAUAGUGAAGCAUGGUGAUGUUCCUGCAGCACACAGACAAACAAAAGUCACCUGUGUUCUCCUCCAUAUGCCCGGUGCUGUAACCCUAAUGCCUCCAGGAAGCAGCCCCAUCCGCAACAGCUGUGCCCACCGACCUGUCGAUGCUGGACUUGGUGUCAGCGAUCUUGUUGAGGCUGGACACCUUGAAGCCGUAGGCGUUGCCCCGCUGACCCUUGUUCAUGAAGUUUCCGAACGCCAGGACGACCUCCAAGGUCUGCGUCAACCGCUUGCUCCUCAUCACAUCCCGUGAGGCACACAGGAUUGCUGAACGAGGGGGAGGACAGCGUGAGAAAAAGGGUAGCGAUGUGAGGAGAAAUCGAGACGUCUUGCUGCUCACCACGAGAAGCUGAAACGAGAGAUUUGUGUUCGACUAAAGCAUGUGACGUCCUACGUUUGGACUUCAAAGGUGACCUCACUGCACCUGCGCCACCGAUAUUGGAGAGGAGGGGAAAAAACUUCUGCACUUGCUUCACUCAGGGAGCCAGACAGACGCACUUCAAUCCAAAAACCGUCACAGGAGUAAAGAAACAAAACUCAUCCGAGAUAAACCACCUUAACUCCAAGUGCGGAUGUGAAGCAGCGGGCAUGAGGAAUAUGCAGCUUCCCCCGAACUCGGACAACAGAAAAACCAAAGUAGAAGAACAGAAUAUUCCGUGAGGAAAUUCCACUGGCAGAGAGCGAGGACCGGCUCGCCCGUAAGGCAGAGAGUGGGUGCCAUGAACCGGGGCUGACCCCAGGUCCGAGCAAACGGCCCUGUGCUCACGCUGGGAUUCUCAUCACAGGGCUGAAAAAUCCAAGGGGCAGGGGUGCAGCCCCAUGAAGAGCGCGACAGCCCCGUGUCCUGCCUUAAAACCAACAGCGCUCUCCACGGAAAGCGGCGCUGAUCCAGACAUUGGCUUGCUGUCGGACCUACCUUCCACCUUGGGCUUGGCUUCUGCGAGGCGCUCUGCAAACUUCUUCUUGAAGAACAGGGAUUGGAGUCUCUGUUGGUAGUGGUCAAUCCUGGAGGAGGAGAGUGAGAUGAAGCGUGAGGUGGUUCAGCCUUGGGGAUGUGGAGCCAUUUCAAUGCAUUUCUCACGGUGAGCUUUGUAGUGACCCUGUCAAGUACUGGCGCUGUGUGAUAUUAAGCAGGAGACCAGCCAUACUAAAUGGCUGAGUCAGAGAUGGCGAAAUGUUAGCUUAGAAACCUGCAGUGAUGCCGGGACAUGAAUCUGUCAGUAGGUUGUGAGGAAGUGGAUCCACUCGGUGGGAUGUAAAGGUAAGCAGUGUCAUGUGAAGAGCUCCAUGGGGAAUUCCCCAGUAAUGUCUCACAAUCGAAGAGGACAUCGGCUGAGUUGGAUUUUUUUUCCCUUUUAUUGUCUAUGAAGCUUCUAGAUAUUUUUAAAUUAAACUAAGAGAGCAAGCUCUGAUUUUACAAGCCUUAGAAGUACGUUCGUGGCCACGGUAAGUUUUUCAGACUGUAAAUGAAAUUCUUUUGUUUUUGGGCGGUACUGAGUUCAAAUAGUCUGAAGGACAGCACUAGGACGUUUCUCAUUGUCGAGAAUGAUGUCAUAGGUCUGCCUGAGUUUUGCCUAAGCUACAGAAGCAGAAUGACCGUUGGUUGCCCUGUUGCCCCAGUAAUUGCCCCCACCUGCUCAUCUCAAACAGGAAGCGGUCCGCUCGCGCCAUGCGCUCGAGCUCCUGUUUGUGCUCCUCCAGAAGAUCAGUGUCACUCUUCUCUGGAACGAACUUCAAUAGCUGGGAGGAAGCCAAUGAACAUGUCAGCCACACCACAAAAAUCCAACUGGCCAAAUGCCCCCGUUCAUCCCGAACUAUCUGGGUUUUAUGUAAAGCUCUCGUCAGUCUGAGAUUAUCCCCAAAGAUUAAAUCUUAAACCACAUAAUCUAAAUUAAUUUCUGACAGGGAUGGGUCUUACGAUAUUUGGGCAUCCAAUUGAAUGUGAGCUACAGUCCAUGUCAGGACCUUAGGCUCAUGGUCCGGACGAGGCUACCUGCUCAAGCAUAUCUUUAGCCAGCUCCUCACGCUCGUCCAUCUCCAGUAUCGCUCUUUUGAUCUCCUCAUUGCUCAUCUUCAACCUGUUCAGGGCCAGAAGUUAUUUAGUUGUAUCUUUUACCCAACGUAAGCACCCUUUACAAUAGCAGUACACAAAGCUGAGCCACUAACUGCUACUUCUCCACUUCGGCUUCAGUUUCAGAAAGACAUAUCGGGAUAUUACACAUAAUCUGUCUACAACCUUGAUGUUAUGUCAAAGAUGUGUCAGUUUAAGCUGCUACCGUGGCAGAUGUUUCUCCUGGUGGCCAGUUUCUUACAGCGUGACCCCCUACGCUCCCCCAACACAUGCUAAUUGGACCAUGUCGGCAAUGAUUUCAUUGACCUGACAUCUCAUCAAUGGGGCAUAAGAUAUGCAAAGCUUAAAGCAGAUCAGAUUUCAACUCCCCAAAGAGGUUUUGUAAGUAAGCAUGACCGAAAUUUGAGAGGGCUCCUCACUUGUGUGGAAAUACAUACCCACGCCAAGAGUGGUAGCUGUGAGCCAGCCUGGGGCCAAAACUACACAGCGGACAGUGUGAUCAAAGCUCACCGAGCUGAAUCCUCGUUUAUAGCUCCAGUUGCAUUGACUGGGCCCUGAUCACACUGCCAUGUUCCUAGAGCCCUAAAUUGGUACCCUUCCUGUUCACAGCUUAGCCAAAAAUGUACUUCUGUCUGUUGGUGUAAUUUUAGCCACCUUAGAUGUUAAUCAAAGCUGAAACAUAUUCUACAGCCAGAAAGCAAUCAGUUCAUAUACUGGAAUUUCAAAUCUCUUUAUUUAUAAAUCUGAGCAACCUCAAGGCAGGAAGUGACAUCACACACUGUGAUCUGUGAUGUGAUGCGUGUCUGGAGUGCACUUUGAAGUCCUUUUACAAAUCCCACGCGCCCUUUGAGAACGUGAUACAAAGCUCCAGGCGUUCAGGCUGGGACUCACUUGGAGAGCAAGAUGACGCAGUUCUGGGCACGGCGACCAUCUAUGACGGAGAGCUCCUUCACUUUGCGUGUGUUAAGGUAGAGGUCGUCCAUGGAGCCUGUCUCUUUCUGCAGGCGGAGGGACAGGAGAUGUGGAAAUGGUGGUAAGAUCUCCCACAUCAAUCACCCACUAAAUUUAUUAAUAGAAAUCAGAUUAGAGGGAGCAUAGCACCUGAAAUCUGCUCUAUGACAGAUUUUUUGCAGUGAGAAAUGCUGCUACGCGUAUAUUGAUAUAGUCAGUACACAUCGGCUGCUCCCUCUGACCAUUUUGUUGGAGCUAAACUGUAAAAUGACGCAGGGCUCUUUGAAAGAGAGCUCAUUUCUUCCAGACCGUGCUGCCCUCUCAAGCUGGUUGGCAGGUCAUCUACGGCUUCGCUUCAGUCCACCACAGCUUACCUCUUGGAUGCUCACCCCGCCAACUGCUUCUCGUUCCCCGUGAGCCAAUGAGAAGACCUCAGCCAGCCUCAAUGUUGCACUAACAAACACUACGGCAUGCAGCAGAUCUAUGCCAUCAGCCAUGGUGGGAAGAGCAGCGGCUAAUGACAGCCUGCAGCAAAAAUUCCAGUCACACAGCAAGGCAUCAUGGGUAGCGACAUCAUUUAAAGGAACAGUACCACAGCACGGCAAAUGAGCGUAUCACCAGCAUGGAUGGACUCAGUACCAGGGCUCCAGUCAUUUUGAGCAACCAAAGGGGAGACCCCCACCAUGCGUCCCAAUACCUGUUGUCUCUGCUAUUGGCUUACACCUGCUGUAUGACACAAUUGAUGGCUUCCCUGACAUCUCCCCACCAAAUCCGACCGGCUGAGAAACGGAGCACUGGAACUCACCUCCCCCAGUUUGGACCAGUUGAAGGACUUGAGGGGGUGGG